UGUAGAAUAGAGUAGUGGUAACACUGCCACCCUUCACAUGGGAGGCCAGGGUUCGAAUCCCAAACUAUACAA